rnacentral:rRNA from 1 species
UACGGAGGGUGCAAACGUUGCUCGGAAUCAUUGGGCGUAAAGCGCACGUAGGCGGUUUGGCAAGUCGGGUGUGAAAUCCCUCGGCUUAACCGAGGAAGUGCAUUCGAAACUACCAAGCUUGAAUACUCAAGAGGGUCUCGGAAUUCCCGGUGUAGAGGUGAAAUUCGUAGAUAUCGGGAGGAACACCAGUGGCGAAGGCGGCGAUCUGGGCAGAUACUGACGCUGAGGUGCGAAAGCGUGGGGAGCAAACAGG